GAGGUCCAGCCUGCCCAGUGACAUUUUAAACGGCCGCGGUAUCCUGACCGUGCGAAGGUAGCAUAAUCACUUGUUCUUUAAAUGAGGACUAGCAUCAACGGCAUCACGAGGAUUUUACUGUCUCCUUUUUCUCAUCAGUGAAACUGAUCUCCCCGUGAAGAAGCGGGGAUUAUACUAUAAGACGAGAAGACCCCAUGGAGCUUUAAACCCAAUGACAUCUCAAACCAAUUUCUUUCCCACAAGUUUUUAUGUACUGUCUGCUGGUUUUAGGUUGGGGCGACCACGGAGUAUAACUUAACCUCCAUAACGCACGGAACUUCCUUCUUAUCUGAGAGCCACAUCUCGAAGAAUUAAUAAAUUGACGUAAAAUGAUCCAAUUAUUUUGAUCAAUGAACCAAGUUACCCUGGGGAUAACAGCGCAAUCCAUUUUUAGAGCUCCUAUCGACAAAUGGGUUUACGACCUCGAUGUUGGAUCAGGGUAUCCCGGUGGUGCAGCCGCUACUAAUGGUUUGUUUGUUCAACAAUUAAAACCCUACGUGAUCUGAGU
rnacentral:rRNA from 1 species